GGGUUGUCAACAAUAUCCAGCCUGUCGGGCAUACUGAUAUUGGUCAGUCUAAUUCCAUUUUAAGAAGCGCAACUACCUUCCUUUACCUUUCUCUUUCAAAAAAGGUCAUAGUAUUACUUUAUUUAUCUUCUGAUGUUGAUAAUUAGGAAAACUGCCAUCUGAGAUACACAAACUUUAGAAAGCAGCUGUAUUUCUUGAUAACAACACAUUCUGCAUUUUCUCACCAACAUAUUUACUACCCUCCAGUGUUUAUCAAUGGUCAGGAAAAUGCAGAGGAGGAGGAUAUGGAUAACAAUGAUGAUCUUGCUGGAGAUGCCAUUGAAAGUGAUGACAAGGAAGAACAGGUACCAGCAGAACGGCCUCCCAAAACAUCAAAAUUUAUAGCUUCAUCAUGCACUCAUCAAGUGUGCUUAAUAUCUGGAUGAAGAUUCAUAGUUGAAGGCUACAGACUUUGGCCUGUCAGAUUUUGUGAAACCAGAUGAAAAGUUUAUCAAAAUUGCUGGUAGUACAUACUGUGUAGCCCCCAAAGUGUUACAUAUGGCUUAUGGUACAGAGGCUGAUGUCUGGAGCGUAGGUGUGAUUGCACACAUUCUAUUGUGUGGCAGCUGUCCAUUUUGGCCUUGAACGAAGUUUGGCAUUUUUCGGGCAGUUCUAAAAGUUGAUCCAAGUUUCAAUGAACCUUGGCCACAUUCUCUACAGAGGCAAAAGUAAUUUGGUCAAGCGCCUAUUGAAUCAAGACCCACGGA